UAUGUCUGACCUCUAUAGAUAAUCCACUCGAAGCCCCAAAUAGAUCAUCCUUUUCGAAAGUGCUAGCUUGCGAUGAAGGCUGUGAAUGGCUGAUGGAGACUCUUUUCCUUAGAUCAAAUAGAUACUCCCAGAUUAGAAGAAAGAGCUUCUCAAGAAAGAGAUGGCAUGGAAGAAGAAAAAUAAAAUCUUUUUUAUUUUUCUCUCUCACAAAAUUAAAACUAGGAAAUCCUAGAACCCCCACCCUAGAUCUGACACCCC
rnacentral:lncRNA from 1 species